UACGUAGGGGGCAAGCGUUGUCCGGAAUCAUUGGGCGUAAAGCGCGUGUAGGCGGCUCGGUAAGUCCGCUCUGAAAGUCCAGGGCUCAACCCUGGGAUGCGGGUGGAUACUGCCGGGCUCGAGUCCGGAAGAGGCGAGUGGAAUUCCCGGUGUAGCGGUGAAAUGCGCAGAUAUCGGGAGGAACACCAAUGGCGAAGGCAGCUCGCUGGGACGUGACUGACGCUGAGACGCGAAAGCGUGGGGAGGCAAACAGG
rnacentral:rRNA from 1 species